AGUGAACGCUGGCGGUAGGCCUAACACAUGCAAGUCGAACGGCAGCACAGUAAGAGCUUGCUCUUACGGGUGGCGAGUGGCGGACGGGUGAGGAAUACAUCGGAAUCUACUUUUUCGUGGGGGAUAACGUAGGGAAACUUACGCUAAUACCGCAUACGACCUACGGGUGAAAGCAGGGGAUCUUCGGACCUUGCGCGAUUGAAUGAGCCGAUGUCGGAUUAGCUAGUUGGCGGGGUAAAGGCCCACCAAGGCGACGAUCCGUAGCUGGUCUGAGAGGAUGAUCAGCCACACUGGAACUGAGGCACGGUCCAGACUCCUACGGGAGGCAGCAGUGGGGAAUAUUGGACAAUGCGCGCAAGCCUGAUCCAGCCAUACCGCGUGGGUGAAGAAGGCCUUCGGGUUGUAAAGCCCUUUUGUUGGGAAAGAAAAGCAGCAGGUUAAUACCCCGCUGUUCUGACGGUACCCAAAGAAUAAGCACCGGCUAACUUCGUG
rnacentral:rRNA from 1 species